rnacentral:rRNA from 1 species
UACGUAGGGUGCAGGCGUUAAUCGGAAUUACUGGGCGUAAAGAGCGCGCAGGCGGUCGAUCAAGUCGGAUGUGAAAGCCCCCCGGCUCAACUGGGGGAGGGUCAUUCGAUACUGCCAUGACUCGAGUCCGGUAGAGGAGUGUGGAAUUCCCGGUGUAGCGGUGAAAUGCGCAGAUAUCAGGAGGAACACCGGUGGCGAAGGCGGG